GUCCACGCCGUAAACGAUGGAUACUAGCUGUUGGAAGCAAUUUCAGUGGCUAAGCGAAAGUGAUAAGUAUCCCACCUGGGGAGUACGUUCGCAAGAAUGAAACUCAAAGGAAUUGACGGGGGCCCGCACAAGCGGUGGAGCAUGUGGUUUAAUUCGAUGAUACGCGAGGAACCUUACCAAGGCUUAAAUGUAGAUUGACCGUUUUUGGAAACAGAACUUUCGCAAGACAAUUUACAAGGUGCUGCAUGGUUGUCGU
rnacentral:rRNA from 1 species